rnacentral:rRNA from 1 species
UCCAACAGUAAUGUCAGAAUGUCGUGUGCAGUGGAAAGGCGGCUUGAGCCUGCUUAGUACCUGAAUGGUAGAUCACAUGGGAAAACUAGGUUGCUGUUGGAA